rnacentral:rRNA from 1 species
GACGAACGCUGGCGGCGUGCUUAACACAUGCAAGUCGAACGGUGAAGCGCCUUCCUUUUUGGUGGGUGUGGAUGAGUGGCGAACGGGUGAGUAACACGUGAGUAACCUGCCCCCUUCUUCUGGAUAACCGCAUGAAAGUGUGGCUAAUACGGGAUAUUCUGGGUCUGUCGCAUGAUGGGUCUGGGAAAGAUAUUGUUUCGGUGGGGGAUGGGCUCGCGGCCUAUCAGCUUGUUGGUGGGGUGAUGGCCUACCAAGGCGGUGACGGGUAGCCGGCCUGAGAGGGUGGGCGGUCACACUGGGGCUGAGACGCGGCCCAGACUACUACAGGAGGCAGCAGUGGGGAAUAUUGCACAGUGGGCGCAAGGCUGAUGCAGCGACGCCGCGGGAGGGAUGGAGGCCGUCGGGUUGUGAACCUCUUUCGCGAGUGAAGCGGGCCUGCCUCGUUUGUGGGUGGGUUGACGGUAGCUGGAUAAGAAGCGCCGGCUAACUACGUG